GCCUGCCUGACUGCCUAGUUAGAGUCUUUACACAGACGAUAGGCACACAGACGACAUCUUCCCCACUUCCCCCUUAACAUCAAUUCUUCAGAACAGCAAAACUGCACACAUCUGUAUUUUGAGACUGGCCUGGCUCAACUUAAGAAGACCUGUUCUGAGGAUCUGAAAAUCAAUGGAUUGAUAGAAGAAUUGAUAAAAAGAUUUAAGUAUGAAAAAUGCCUGCGCGACCUCAGUGAUGUUACGGGCCUGAAGUGUAUGAAGAAUACAACUUCAUACCAUUUCAUGGAUCAGCUGAAAAAUCUGAGCCAACAGCUGAACAACAUCGCCAAAGUCAUAGGGAGGAGGAGGAGGAGGAGGAGGAGAUCAGUCUGGAACCAAGAAGCCUACUGAUCAGUAACUCACUGUUUGAACUGACACACUGAAGCCUGCCCACGACAAAACCAACCACUUAUAAUCUUUAUUUUUAAAUACUGAUUAUAUUCAUGGAAAACCCUAUGGAUGGAAGAUUAAUAUUUAUAUUUUUUAAUACUGAUUAUAUUUAUGGAAUAGAAUACUGAUGAAAGAUUUUUUAUUUUUAUUUUUAAAUACUGAUUAUAUUUACGAAAUAGCCAACUGAUGAAAGUUUUCUAUUUCUAUUUUUAAAUACUGAAUAUAUUUAUGAAAUAGCCUACUGAUGAAAGAUUUAUAUAUUUUUAAUAAUGAUUUAUAUUUAUGGAAUAGCCUUCUAAGUUUUAGAAUAAAAUGUAUUAUUUAAUUACUUAUUGAUUAUCUGAAUGCUGAACUUGAAAUAUUGUUAUUUAUCAUAAAUUAUGUUUUAAAAGUUAAAAUAUAUUGUUAUAUAUGUAUUUAUUAAUCACUGUUGUUGAGGUUGAUUCUGCUCUGUGCAGUGUCCUGGCUGAGCAUAUUCUUUAAUAAAGACUACUGAAGACAUGA